ACCUACGGGGGGCAGCAGUGGGGAAUAUUGCACAAUGGGCGAAAGCCUGAUGCAGCAACGCCGCGUGAGCGAUGAAGGCCUUCGGGUCGUAAAGCUCUGUCCUCAAGGAAGAUAAUGACGGUACUUGAGGAGGAAGCCCCGGCUAACUACGUGCCAGCAGCCGCGGUAAUACGUAAGGGGCUAGCGUUAUCCGGACUUACUGGGCGUAAGGGGUGCGUAGGUGGUUUCUUAAGUCAGAGGUGAGAGGCUACGACUAAUCCGGAGUAA
rnacentral:rRNA from 1 species